rnacentral:rRNA from 1 species
GCCAAAACCACGCCUUAGCCAACUACACUAAUUAACAAACCCACAAAAACUAAACCAUUCCCCCGCACCAAGUAACCUUUUAUGCGAUAGAAAAGUAUAAUAAGCGCAAGCCCCCAGUACCACAAGGGAACAGUGAAAGAUAAUAUAACCUUUAAGCACCAAUAAAGCAGAGCUAAUCCCUCGUACCUUUUGCAUCAUGGUUCAGCAAGCACUCGCAGAUAAUGCGCCCAUCACCUGCACACCCGAAGCCGAACGAGCUAUCCAAGAGCAGCUACCCUAGUAGCAAACCCGUCUCUGUGGCAAAAGAGUGGGAAGACUCUUGGCUAGAGGUGAUAUGCCAACCGAGUUCGGCGAUAGCUGGUUGCUCACUAACCGAAUCUUAGUUCAACUCUUAUUUUCUCCCAUUAAAAAUCUAUGACCAUAUAAAAUUAAGAAGCUAAACGCCGGGGGUACAGCCCCGGCGUCCCGGGGUACAGCCCGACAUAGAGGCCUGGCAUAAAAUAUUCAACCAGUGGGCCCCAAAGCAGCCAACCUAAAAAAGUGCGUCACAGCAAACGACAACACGAAUACCACCCGCUCACACCACGCCCUAUGGCCUCACCGAGCUAUUCUAUUAAACCAACAGAAGAAACCCUGCUAAAACUAGUAAUAAGGGCACACGCCCCUCUCACUGCACCCGUGUACAGCAAAUCAAAUACCUACUACAACUUACCCCACACCAAUCAUACACCUUGCCCCCAUUACACCUCACCGUUACUCCAACACAGGAGUGCAAACAAGACAGAUCCAAAGUUGUAAAAGGAACUCAGCUAAUGUGCCCCACCUGUUUACCAAAAACACCGCCUUUAGCCAAACAAGUAUUAGAGGUCCAGCCUGCCCAGUGAACCCAUUUUUAACGGCCGCGGUAUCCUAACCGUGCAAAGGUAGCGUAAUCACUUGUCCCCUAAUUAGUGACCAGUAUGAACGGCCACAUGAGGGCCCAACUGUCUCUUACAACCCAUCAAUGAAACUGAACUUUCAGUUAAAAAGCUGAAAUAAUAACAUAAGACGAGAAGACCCCGCGGAACUUUAAACAAGCCGCUACAGCACACCAGACACAGCUUACAAACCCAAUGCUGCUAACACACCAAAUAGCUAGGCCUGCACUUUUAGUUGGGGCGAGUACGGAGCGAAAUGAAACCUCCACUACCAGGACUAACCAUCCACUUAAGGCCAACAAGCCAAAAGCAAGCACCACCACACGACCCAGUACAACUGAGCAACGAACCAAGCUACCCCGGGGAUAACAGCGCCAUCCUCUCCAAGAGUCCCUAUCGACGAGCGGGUUUACGACCUCGAUGUUGGAUCAGGGCCCCCAGGCGGUGCAGCCGCUGCCAACGGUUCGUUUGUUCAACGAUUAAUGCCCUACGUGAUCUGAGUUCAGACCGGAGCAAUCCAGGUCGGUUUCUAUCUAUGAUUUCCCCUCCCCCAGUACGAAAGGACCGGGGUGGGUGUGCCACUACCACGCAGCACGCACACCAAAACCCCCUGAAAACCCCCUGAAGAGCCUGUAACCACAGGGCCCCAAACAAGGGCCAA